GCGCGUAGGCGGUCAGCACAGUUCGUCUGUAAAUCCUCCGGCCUUACCUCAGAACGGCCACCUAAUCCUGUGCUCCUGAAGUGCGCAGAGGACAUCGGAAUUUCUCGUGGUACCGUUAAAUGGCUAAAAAUUCGAAAGAACCCCCUGCGCCAAAGGCGGUCUCCUGGCCUCACCCGACCCCUAAGCCCCAAAACCUGGGGAACCAACCGGAAUAAAAUCCCCCGUUAUCCCCGCCCUUAACCAUGGCAACCUUGUUGUCUGGAGUUUUAUAGUCUCCGGGUGCCAUAUCUAACACUUUAACCACCCCGCCUGGAGAGUACGGUCGCGAGACUGAAACUCAAAGGAAUUGACGGGCACCCGCACACGCGGUGGAGCAUGUGGUUCAUUUCCACGCAACGCCAAUACCCUUACCUGGGCGACAUAUGCCUCUGACAACUCCAGACAUGGAGCUUUCUAGGGAAACCUAGACGGAGUGCAAGGUGCUGCAUGGCUGUCGUCAGCUCGUGUCGUGAGAUGUUGGGUUAAGUCCCGCAACGAGCGCAACCCUUAUCGAUAGUU
rnacentral:rRNA from 1 species